rnacentral:rRNA from 1 species
UACGUAGGGGGCAAGCGUUAUCCAGAUUUACUGGGCGUAAAGCGCGUGUAGGCGGCUGGUUAGGUGUGAUGUGAAAUCUUCCGGCUCAACCGGAAAACUGCAUUGCAAACCGGCCUGGCUAGAGUGCAGGAGAGGGAAGCGGAAUUCCAGGUGUAGCGGUGAAAUGCGUAGAUAUUGGGAGGAACACCAGUGGCGAAGGCGGCUCACUGGACCGGUACUGACGCUGAUGCGCGAAAGCGUGGGGAGCAAACGGG